GAGGGCGGAACGAAAAACACGGCCCGGUUGGUAGUCCGGGCGCGGUCCGGGGGAGCGUCCCGCCCCCGGGACCGUCAGUAACCUGCCUCCUUGGUUGUCCGCGCUCCGCGCAAGACCU
rnacentral:ncRNA from 2 species